CGGACGACGCUGGCGGCGUGCCUAACACAUGCAAGUCGAGCGGGGUUGAAGCGAGGGGUAACUCGAGUUUCUACCUAGCGGCGGACGGGUGAGUAACGCGUGGGCAACCUGCCUCAAGGACUGGGAUAACAGCUCGAAAGGGCUGCUAAUACCGGAUAAGCCUAUGGCCUCGCAUGGGGCCAUGAGCAAAGGGGAAACCCGCCUUGAGAUGGGCCCGCGUCCCAUCAGCUAGUUGGUGAGGUGAAGGCUCACCAAGGCGACGACGGGUAGCCGGCCUGAGAGGGUGACCGGCCACACUGGGACUGAGACACGGCCCAGACUCCUACGGGGGGCAGCAGUGGGGAAUCUUGCACAAUGGGCGAAAGCCUGAUGCAGCGACGCCGCGUGAGCGAAGAAGGCCUUCGGGUUGUAAAGCUCUGUCUGGAGGGACGAAGGAAGUGACGGUACCUCCGGAGGAAGCCACGGCUAACUACGUG
rnacentral:rRNA from 1 species